CACAAGGCACUGCAUCCUCUCUCCGAAUUUACUGAUGCUCUUUCUGGAGAGGAGUAUGUGAGCAUCUCCUACCUCAAGCCAGUUCUCCAUCUUCUGGCAACAUCAGUCUUGGCUGAAGAUGCUGAGGACACUGAUCUGACUAGAUCAAUUAAAACCAAGGUCCUGGCUUACCUCAACGACAAGUAUAGUGACCUCAUCACCCAGGAGCUUUUGGAUGUUGCGUCUUUCAUGGACCCUAGGUUCAAAACGCAAUACAUCAGCGCAGACAACCUUCCUGCCAUUAAGGCCAGACUGAAGACAGAAAUGGUGGAAUCAGCAAGACGUACACAUAAUCAGGAGAAGAGGUCUCGCACUGAAACCGCUCAAAAUUCUCCAAGUGCACAGCCCUCUGGGGGAAAGGCAAAGAAGUCUCUUGGUAGUCUUUUUAAAACCAGUGUGGCCUCUUCAGCUUUGCCUCUGCCACUUGAAGAUGUCGUGGAGGCAGAGUUGAAUAGUUACCUGUUGAGCCCUGUCAUUGACGGAGAGGAUGAUCCCUUAGCCUGGUGGAAGGUGCACAACAUUCACUUUCCACGACUGUGCAAGAUGGCCCGCAAAUAUCUAUGUGUGCCAGCCACAAGUGCCCCCUCAGAGCGUUUGUUCAGCACUGGAGGGAAUAUAGUGACUUGCACUCGCUCAUCCUUAAAGCCAGCAAAAGUUGAUAUGCUGGUCUUCCUAGCAAAAAACCUUGAGCUAUGAUGAUUAUGGCUGGCAGAGCCAUACUCAUUGUGCACUUUAGUUUGUGUUACUGUUACUGCAGAUAAUCAAGAUGUUCAGCCAGUUUUAAUUUAAAGGUGUGUUUGUGUGUGUAUACAAUUGCUAUAUUAUGUUUGCACUUUAUGUGUAAUGUUACUGACUAGUUUUAUUUAUUUAAUAUUAUUUUUUAAUUUAAUGACUUUCUAGCAGUUCACAGAUGUCGAAAGUCGAGUGUGGUAAAGCCACAGAUUGUUUUUAUAUAUAUAUAUAUAUUUCUGCACAUUGUACUGACUUUCAUUUUAAUGUUUACACCAGGGUUCCUUGUCAGCACUUUAUGCUCAGAUGUUACUAUACUAUGCUCAGAGAUGUUACUACUCAAAAUAUACUAUUGUGUAUGUUCAAAUAUACUGUUUUGAUUGAA